rnacentral:rRNA from 1 species
CCCAAUCCUGACACAGGGAGGUAGUGACAAUAAAUAACAAUACAGGGCUCUUCGAGUCUUGUAAUUGGAAUGAGUACAAUUUAAAUCCCUUAACGAGGAACAAUUGGAGGGCAAGUCUGGUGCCAGCAGCCGCGGUAAUUCCAGCUCCAAUAGCGUAUAUUAAAGUUGUUGCAGUUAAAAAGCUCGUAGUUGAACUUCAGGCUAGGUUGGUCGGUCCACCUAACAGUGAGUACUGACUGGCCUGGUCUUCCUUCUGGCUACUUAGGCUGCUUUUAAUCGGGUGGCCUAAUGUACCAGGACUUUUACUUUGAAAAAAUUAGAGUGUUCAAAGCAGGCCUACGCUUGAAUACAUUAGCAUGGAAUAAUAGAAUAGGAUCUUGGUUCUAUUUUGUUGGUUUCUAGGACUAAGGUAAUGAUUAAUAGGGACGGUUGGGGGCAUUAGUAUUUCAGUGUCAGAGGUGAAAUUCUUGGAUUUCUGAAAGACUAACUACUGCGAAAGCAUCUGCCAAGGAUGUUUUCAUUAAUCAAGAACGAAAGUUAGGGGAUCGAAGACGAUUAGAUACCGUCGUAGUCUUAACCAUAAACUAUGCCGACUCAAGAUCAGCCGGAUAUUUUUUUAGUACCGGCUGGGCACUGUAUGAGAAAUCAAAGUUUUUUG